rnacentral:tRNA from 1 species
CGGGGCGUAGCGCAGUCUGGUAGCGCACUUGACUGGGGGUCAAGGGGUCGGAGGUUCAAAUCCUCUCGUCCCGACCA